rnacentral:rRNA from 1 species
GAUGAACGCUAGCGGCAGGCCUAAUACAUGCAAGUCGAACGGUGUCUUCGGACAUAGUGGCGCACGGGUGCGUAACACGUAUGCAACCUACCUUACAUUGGGGGAUAGCCUUUCGAAAGGGAGAUUAAUACCGCAUAAGACAGUAGCUGGGCAUCCAGCAGCUGUUAAAGAUUUAUCGAUGUAAGCUGGGCAUGCGUCCAAUUAGCUAGUUGGUGAGGUAACGGCUCACCAAGGCAAUGAUUGGUAGGGGAACUGAGAGGUCAAUCCCCCACACUGGCACUGAGAUACGGGCCAGACUCCUACGGGAGGCAGCAGUAGGGAAUAUUGGGCAAUGGACGCAAGUCUGACCCAGCCAUGCCGCGUGCAGGAUGAAGGCGUUAUGCGUUGUAAACUGCUUUUAUACAGGAAGAAACGACUCUUGCGAGAGGCAUUGACGGUACUGUAUGAAUAAGCACCGGCUAACUCCGUGCCAGCCGCCGCCGUAA